GACGAACGCUGGCGGCGUGCUUAACACAUGCAAGUCGAACGGAAAGGCCCUGCUUUUGUGGGGUGCUCGAGUGGCGAACGGGUGAGUAACACGUGAGUAACCUGCCCUUGACUUUGGGAUAACUUCAGGAAACUGGGGCUAAUACCGGAUAGGAGCUCCUGCUGCAUGGUGGGGGUUGGAACGUUUCGGCGGUUGGGGAUGGACGCGCGGCUUAUCAGCUUGUUGGUGGGGUAGUGGCUUACCAAGGCUUUGACGGGUAGCCGGCCUGAGAGGGUGACCGGCCACAUUGGGACUGAGAUACGGCCCAGACUCCUACGGGAGGCAGCAGUGGGGAAUAUUGCACAAUGGGCGGAAGCCUGAUGCAGCAACGCCGCGUGCGGGAUGACGGCCUUCUGGUUGUAAACCGCUUUCGCCUGUGACGAAGCGUGAGUGACGGUAAUGGGUAAAGAAGCACCGGCUAACUACGUG
rnacentral:rRNA from 1 species